rnacentral:rRNA from 1 species
ACGGGAGGCAGCAGUGAGGAAUAUUGGUCAAUGGAGGCAACUCUGAACCAGCCAUCUCGCGUGAAGGAAUACGGCCCUACGGGUCUUAAACUUCUUUUAUAGGGGGAUAAAGUGAGAUAUGUAUAUCUUUUUGUAGGUACCCUAUGAAUAAGCAUCGGCUAACUCCGUGCCAGCAGCCGCGGUAAUACGGAGGAUGCAAGCGUUAUCCGGAUUUAUUGGGUUUAAAGGGUGCGUAGGCGGCUAGGUAAGUCAGCGGUGAAAUGCCAGUGCUCAACAUUGGACGUGCCGUUGAUACUGUCUGGCUUGAAUGCGGAUGCCGUGGGAGGAAUGUGUGGUGUAGCGGUGAAAUGCAUAGAUAUCACACAGAACACCGAUUGCGAAGGCAUCUCACGAAUCCGCUAUUGACGCUGAGGCACGAAAGUGUGGGGAUCAAACAGGAUUAGAUACCCUGGUA